rnacentral:rRNA from 1 species
UACGGGGGGGGCUAGCGUUGUUCGGAAUUACUGGGCGUAAAGGGCUCGUAGGUGGCCAACUAAGUCAUGCGUGAAAUCCCUCGGCUUAACCGGGGAACUGCGUCUGAUACUGGAUGGCUUGAAUCCGGGAGAGGGAUGCGGAAUUCCAGGUGUAGCGGUGAAAUGCGUAGAUAUCAAGAGGAACACCUGAGGUGAAGACGGGUUGCUGGGCUGACACUGACGCUGAGGCGCGAAAGCCAGGGGAGCAAACGGG